rnacentral:tRNA from 1 species
AGUUAGGUAGCUUAAGAAAAGCAAAUACUUUGAAAGUAUUAUAAGGAGGUUUAAUUCCCCCACUAACUU